ensembl:lncRNA
CCAUCUGCAGGGCUUUUGCCUGGUGUUGGCUGAGGCUGCUUUGUCCUGGUGUGCACUCCCAAGGGAUUCUGCUACCUGCGACUCGUCUGUGCUGACUGCCAGCCCCAGCCCAUGGCCUGGCCCACGUCCCAGCUGUGUUCCCCUCAUCCAGCCCAUACUGCACCAGUCUGGCUGACAUACACUGGGACUGGAAAAAGCAUUGCCAGAAUGAAGACCCAACUUCACGUUCCUGGCAUGUGCCCCGAGCCACUGCUCUGCUCUGCUCCUGCCCUGCCCCGGUGUUACUGCUGGAGGGAUUUAGCUCAGCCUCCCCGGAUGCAGCAUCAGAACACAGCAUCAGACCACAGCAUCAGAGCACACAGCAUCAGAGCACAGCAUCAGAGCACA